GCGAGCUUCGUUGCGCUGCGGGAAUGGUGUUCUGACGACGAAACCUUGACGGAGGUGUCGCUGGCGCCGGUGUCCCCGUCAGCGCCCGCGACCGUAGUGACCCGCCAGCAGGAGCCCGCGCCGCACAAGCUGCCGUCGCCCGAGCAACGAGUCCUCGCCCUCUCCCUCAAGUACCCGCCUGAACUCGUCCCCAUCGAUGUCUCCGGCUCCAGCUUCAAGCGCCUCGAGAAGUUCCGCCAGUCGUUGAUCCACUUCGAGUAUCACAAGGGGAAGCGACGCCGGAAGCGAGUCAAGAGAAGGAACACAAUAGCAGACACGAGGGAUGCAAGGAUAGCUCUCGCGGAUAUUGAAGCCUCAACUUCAUCUGGCCGCGGAAGAUCAUCACCCAGGUCAGGAUCCCCAAGUUCUCGAGGAGGUGUGUCCUUCACAGACAGGUCCUUUGACACCACUGAAACCUUGGACACCACUUCCAACACAACCAAGACAAGUUCUGAA